rnacentral:rRNA from 1 species
GAGUUUGAUCAUGGCUCAGAACGAACGCUGGCGGCAUGCCUAACACAUGCAAGUCGAACGCGUGGCUUCGGCCACGAGUGGCGCACGGGUGAGUAGCGCGUGGGAACCUGCCUUUAGGUUCGGGAUAACCGCGGGAAACUGCGGCUAAUACCGGAUGCUCCCUACGGGGAAAAGAUUUAUCGCCUGAAGAGGGGCCCGCGUCCGAUUAGGUAGUUGGUGAGGUAACGGCUCACCAAGCCUUCGAUCGGUAGCUGGUCUGAGAGGAUGAUCAGCCACACUGGGACUGAGACACGGCCCAGACUCCUACGGGAGGCAGCAGUGGGGAAUAUUGGACAAUGGGGGCAACCCUGAUCCAGCAAUGCCGCGUGAGUGAUGAAGGGCCUUCGGGUUG